rnacentral:rRNA from 1 species
AUGCGACUCCAUUUAGCUAGGGCGAGAUCCACCUCCACAGGCACUACUCGUCUCCCACCUCCUCCCCCCGCGCCGCUGGCCACUCCAGCCGCGGCGGCCACCACCCAAGCCAUCAUGGCGACGACCCCGCCCCCCUCGCCAGCUGGGGGCUCUGGCCUCGGACCGGAUCUUGAUGCCUGGGCGUCUCCUCCAUCCUCUGGUCCGUCCGCGGUUCCGGAGACGCCGCUCGCGAGCUCGCCAGAUCCGGCAUCGUCGCCGCGGAUCCCGCCUCGGGAGCCGCUGCUGGUGGAUGGGCAGCCCUUUGGCCCGGUAGAUCAGGCCACUCCACCUCCCCCGCGCAUUAAGUCCAUCAUCGUCGCUCCAUCACCGGCUGUCCACCUUUCCUCUUCGGGUGCGGAUGGAGGGUGGACCGAGGUCAGCCACCAAAAGAACCGGCGCCCUUCCUUUGGCCCGCUGGUUUCUGAUGUGCACCGUAGGGCGCACACGUCGGACCCCCGGAGCGGCUUCAAUGCGAGCGCUGGCCGCGACGCCUUCUUAAGCAAGUUCCGCGGCCGCUGUUUCAGAUGUCUCAGCAAGCGCCAUCGCCGCGUCGAUUGUAGGGAUCCAAUCCAUUGCAUCCUCUGCGAGCAGCCGGGGCACAUUGGCAAACACUGCCCGCAGAACCCUCGAAAUCUGAGCAGAGGAAGUGCAAAGAGUAGGCUUGGGCCGGCACCGUCGCCGGUGCCUCUCCACGCGCGUCUCCAGUUCCCUCCGCCCGCUGCACCAACCAUGCCCACCUCCGCCCAGACCAUGCUGUACCACGUCGACCCGGCGCGCCGUCCCCGAGAGAGCCACUCGGUGGCCAUGUCCACUGGGGUGGCUGAGCAGGCCAUCUUCUUCCUGCGCCAUCACGCCAUCACCCUGAGCGCGGCGGAUGGGGUGAACGCCACGUCCCCUAUGGCCAUCGGGCGGGCCCUGGAGGCGCGGCUCGCCGUCCCUGAGCACCAACUGCGGGUCACGGCCCACCACCCGGAGCACUACCUCGUCAUUUUCAACCAGCCGGCGCACCACGACAACGCGGUCCGCCGCGGCUCCAUCCGCGUCGACGGCGCCGUCUUCACCAUCGCGCCGUGGCACGAGCACGACCACGCCUCCUUCGACAUGCUCAGCCUGCAUGUCCGCGUCGUCAUCGAGAAGGUCCCAAUGCAGUACUGGUCCCUGGAGGGGGCCGAGGAGAUCCUGGGGAAGAAGGUGCGUGUUGACCGCCUCGACAGCAGGACGCUGGAGCGCGGGCACACGAAAACUUUCGCCUGCUGGCUCUGGACUCGCGACGUCGCCCACAUCCCCACCAAGCACACCUUGUGGGUGUUGCCGCGCGGCGCGGGGCGAGUGGAAGAGAUGUAG